GCUGUUUUGCACGAUGGCGGUCUGAGCACCGUGAUGCGUAUGUAAUGUGGAUCUUCAUCAUUCGCCUCUUUGGCUUGUAUCAUAAUAAUAUUAUGAUCUAACCAAGAGCCUACAUAAGAAACAUACAAAAAACGUUUUCUUUGAAUAGGCUUUCACUUUUAAAUCGACAUCACUUUAUCGCUGAUUCGGAAUGCAGUAUUACCCUUGAGAAUAAUCAACAAAGAAUUUAGAUCUCGCUCUUUUACAAACAAAAAUAAUAAAAAAUUAAAGUAGCUCAUUUAUUCAUGAUGUAUUAAAUAUAUAGAAGACAAGAUGUAUUGAAAAUUCGAAUUUGAAUUAGAAGAAACGUACCUGCGUUCUAUGUCCGAGUACUGGUCAUAUAUCAUUGUCACUAUUUGUCACCUAUCCAUCUGACAUCAUAGCUAUCAACAAAAUUAAAUAGAUAUUCCAGGAAAACAUACAAGAAAAUCCGACGAGAUGAUUACAAUGUCGAUUCGCAGAGUCCCAAUAACGAUUUAAAUACAGACACCGCAGACGUUUCUCCGAGAAGCGAUGGCGGAAAUGAAAUUAUUGUUACUGCAGAGUCUCCUCCUGGCUGUACUUGUGAUUUAGAGUCGGAAGGUGAAAUUGCUAAUAUAUUACACAAGAAAUGUCCUGUAAUUACAUUAGCGCAGCAACAACUUCAGCGCUUGUUAGAUGAAACAGACAAGUUACUCUGUGACAAUACAAGAUGUUGUAGGUCUAUUUAUGAUUUUUUACACUUAUGCUCAGAAUUAAUAUCCACAAAGAAUAAAUGUCGGUGUAUAUUGGUCUUUAUGCUAGCUAUGGUGUUUUUUGUCGGACUUGUUCUCGGUGCUGCUUCGUGCGGCUCCUACCACGGACAUUUCAACAGUCCCAUCAUUAGUUGCAUCGAUAACUUCUUCAUAAGUGACAGUCAUUCCAACAUAGAAGAUACUUACCGGAUCGUUGUGUGAUGAUUGAUCAAUUUAUGUCACUCAUUCUAACAUAGAAGAUACUUACCGGAUCGUUGUGUGAUGAUUGAUCAAUUUAUGUCACUCAUUCUAACAUAGAAGAUACUUACCGGAUCGUUGUGUGAUGAUUGAUCAAUUUAUGUCACUCAUUCUAACAUAGAAGAUACUUACCGGAUCGUUGCGAUGAAGGAUUACCGUGAAACAAAAGUCAAUCCGAAAAACAUAUAUUUUUGCGUAAUUACUAGUGGUAGGGUGUCAUGUGAGCCCAAACGGGUGGGUAGCACCAUCCUGCCUAUAUCUGCCGGGAAGCGGUAAGGCGUUUCGGUUUGAAGGGUGUGGGAGCCGUUGUAUUGUAAAAACUGAGACUUUGAACUCAUUUCGCAAGAUGGGCGGCGGCUUGGACGUGGUUGAUGUCUAUGGACUCCGGUGACAACCUAACAUUAGGCGGGCCAUGUUCUGGACCAUUCAUAUUAGCAAUAAGAAAAAAAAAUCAACGUGUAACUCCGGAAUACACCACUGGGUCAGAACUAGUAUGGGUCGGUGAUCACGGCCAUCCUUCACCCGGUUGCUCUUUCGCAAGACGCAUGUACAGCUACUUAUACAACCAGAAGAUAUUAAGAAUCAUAUCAAUCGAUUGACGACAAAACCAGAUCCUGCGGAAAGAAUGGAAAGCAGUUGACGUCGCCCCAAGCAUGUCAUUUCGGAUCCUCCCGAUCCACUAAUGGUGCUUUUAGGUACUUCAAGCACCGGUCACCGUUCUCGUCGAACCCGUCGCUUUCGACGAAGGGCUCGACGAGUAAAUUAACCCUGAGACACAGCCCAUUGAGUUUCUCGCCGGAUCUUCUCAGUGGGUCGCGUUCCCGAUUCGGUGGUAGAUUCUGCGAAGCACGGCUCUUGCUACGGUUAGUGUUAGCAACUUCGUCAGGCUUGAGCCCCGUGAGCUUACCUACUAGUUAAGGUUCCGCUGAAAUAGCCUCUCAAGGCUAUCAGCUUAGGUAGGAAAAAAAAGACGACAAAAUAUCAUAAAUUCAUUUUCUCUACAAAUGGGAUUAUUGGAAUAGUACAGAACAAUCUAAAAUCUAAAUGAACAACAUCUAGGUACUCAUUUCUUAAGAGACUUUACUGCAAGAUUGUCUUGGUGUAGCCUUAUGAUCUUCUGUGACAUCUCUAGCGUCUGAUAUCUUCAUGGAGGACUUUGAAUUUAAAACAUCAUCAUUUGGCCCUGUUCAAUACCAGAUUUACAAAUGGUAGAUGCUCUUUCUGUUCUUUCACAGUAUUAUAUAAGAAAAAAUUAGGUAAGUCUUUAGAAUUCAAUUCAUGAUAAUAAUAGAUCACUUUUAUCAUGGAUUUAGUACACACAAUUAAUUAGCUUUUUUAUUAUACACAUUGAUUUUCAGAAAUUCUAAUAACACCAUUAGUCAAUAACUGUGUUUUGGAAACUUAACCAUAAUAAUAGAAACUUUAAUGGUGAAUUCCGUUAUGACCUAUGGCAAUUAUAUAUUUUUGAUAUUUGUAUUUGUAAUAGAGAGCUCAAGGUAAAUGUAACACAAUGAGAACAUUAUGUAAAAAAAAAAAACCAGUGGAAUGAGCUAUAUUCCUUGGCACUAGACCAGGAAAAUGCUAACAAAAAGAAGAAGGAAUGUGUCUUUUUUUUUUUUUUCGGGUAGAGGGCCGAACCUCCUACGAGGUCCCCGCGCAAAAGGGGCGCGCGGGGUAUGUGAGACUACGAUCUGCAUGGUGUUGUGAACAGACCGCGGGCCCAAGGAUUUUAGGGCCCACCCACUAAACGACUCCCCUGCACUCUUACACCCGACGUCCGAUCCCCUCCGAGGUCAGAACCCGGAUGAGGUAGGGGCGUUACCGCGGUCAACACUACAACCAGACGGCGCGGCUAACCCCAAGGACGCCCAGCCGACGGAGCCUUCGAGGCGAAUCGAAGGCUCUGAAACGUCGGCCGUCUCGGUACGGCAGCCCGUCGGGCCGCCCAGACGGUGCCGCUGGUGUCCCGGAAUACCCCGCUGGACCAAAACCAGCCUGCCGGGUCGGGACGCGAUACACCGUCGACCGGUCGCUCUAUUUACUGCUAUAUUGUUCCUGCUGUACAUCAAGGGAGGUAGAGAGAAGAUAGCAACCUCAUACAUUGGAUAGCAUUGGAGUAACACGCACAUUUAGUUACGAAUUAAGGAAAAUAUUGCAGAUGUCAAACCCAACAUAAGUCUGAUUUAUUUUAACAUACUCUGGACAGUGCUAAUAGUGAAAUUUAACAUGGCUCAAUACACCCUAAACAAUCCUUAAUUCCAUAAAUAGCUCAUGAAGCUAUUGUAAAUAAAAGGAAAAAAGGUUGGAUCAGAAAAAAAGUAAUCAUCUGACUAUUACAUGAAACCCCAAGUCAAACAAACUAUGAGACCUAAACAUUAUGUUCUAUGAAAAGGAGAGAAUAAAUAAUUGAUAAUUAUUAUUAAUUAUUUUUUUUCAUUUGUAAUGAUAUUUUAUUAUUAAAAUAAUAAUGAUUGUAAACAAUAAAUAAUUGCCAAUAA